GUCUAAGUACAUACCUUAAAACGUCGAAACCGCGAAUGGCUCAUUAAAUCAACUAUGGUUCCUUAGAUCGUAAACGCUACAUGGAUAACUGUAGUAAUUCUUGAGCUAAUACAUGCCUUGAAUCCCUGACCCUCAAGGGGACGGGUGCAUUUAUUAGAACAGAACCAACCGGGUGCGGCUUUGGCUGUGCCUGUUACAUUCUGUGAUGACCCUGGAUAACUUUACUCAUCGCAGUCGACCUUGUGUCGGUGACGGAUCUUUCAAAUGUCUGCCCUACCAAUUUGUUGGUAGGUGAUUUACCUACCAUGAUGAUAACGGGUAACGGGGAAUCAGGGUUCCAUUGUU
rnacentral:ncRNA from 1 species